GUGGUCAAAUAGUAGCUCUUAGAGUAAAUGUUGGAACUGAACCUGAUGCAGAUCUUGGUCCGGUUAUCAGAUCUUAGAACCCAGAACAUAUUUCAUGGCCAGAUGUGGAUUAACUGCAAGGCUUAAGUUCUUCUUUGGGGACCAAAUGCAGAAGAUCCUUCUCACGUAGAGACGUGGUUUCGUUAACAAGCAACCUGAGGGCUGAAAGAGGCAAUGACAACCAUUCUGCUGCUUCAUCUAGAUCAUCACUAUUCAACUCAGCCUUGAUGCAUAAGUCUUCCAAACUUGUGGAACCUUCAGAUGAUGGUCUUCUGGAGUGUAUAUUGGGCAUUGAUUGCUGAUUUUUUAUGUGUGUUGCAGGUAGGUGGGUUUUGAACUGGUUUGAAAGUCCAAUUACGAAUGAAUGCUCUUGUGCAGUAUGUUGUAGGUUGUUUUUGUCUCCAGGCUUUUGCUUGUGAUGAUGAAGAUUUGAAUUGG